AUUGAGGUGGCCCCAGGGUAGGAAAUUGGCUCAGAUGAGAUGCAGGUGAGGGCAAUUAACUGUUGGGACAAUUAAAAACAGCUGGGAAGUUCCCAGCCUUCAGUUCCCUGUGGGCUCUUGAGAAGAAAGCAUGCAGUAUAUCGGUUAUUUGAUUUCUCUGGAACUCUUUGGUUGCCAUCUUCUGUGCCUUCCCAAACUCCUCCUCAUUUUGGAUCAUCCAAACAAGCAAAUGGGAAGUUGCAGGAGAUAAUUACAGAACAAAUAAUGAGCCUUGUCAGCAUUAGCCACCCCGAAGUGAGAAGCACAAAAUGUGCCAGAGGAUUCAUGGACCUUCAUUUGGAAGCUGAGAAGACAGAGGGCUAUAAGAAACUCUGGAAGAAGAAGUUUCCAGAGAAUAAGAAACUGCUUAUUCUGGAUCUUCUGUGCUCUCCUUGUUAGGCAGAGAAUCCCCCUGCUGGGGCUGGGUGGCAAAAGCCCAGUGUGGAUUUGCCACCUUGACAGUCUGUGACAGCAUCCGUCACCUUGCCGAUGCUAGGAACCGUCUUUGGGAGGAGAGCCAGGCAUUGAUUUGUUUCUGCAGCUCUGCUGUUCACUGGCAGCCCUGUGGGCUUUGGGGAACAGCAGAGCACGGUUUGUUUCUGGAUGUGCUGGAGCAGAUGCUUUGGUAACGGGGAG
rnacentral:lncRNA from 1 species